UUUAACUUUGCUUAAUUGAGUUGUCUCUCAYUUGAAAGCUUGCAAUCAUCAUCAUCUGCUUCAUGAGCACCAGAAGGCCUGGUAGACCCACUGUAUCUUCCCCUUCAGAGAAAAAGAGGAGGAGAAAAAGUCCGGAGAGARUAAGGGCCCAGUCAAAGAUAAGUGUAAGAGAACAGAUAGGAAGGUGGAUGUCCCUUAGAGAAACACUUAAUGUGUUCUCACAUACUGAAGUUGCCAAGUUUUGCUGGAUUUUUAGAUGCAAUGMCUGUGAACACCGAGAUGGUGUGUGCAAGGAAUCACAAGUGAAGCAAGAAGCUGAUGGAAGGCCAGAGUUAAAAGCUGAACAGGAUGUGGCAGAGACCUCUUAGCAGCAACUCCUGAAAGGUUACCUUGUGAAGACUUAAAGGAAGAAUCUAUAGGCAAUUCAGGGGAAGAGUCAAUCAGUGAUAAAGAAUAUGAUCUUUCUAAAGGUAAUUUGGUAU
rnacentral:lncRNA from 1 species